GCGGACGAUAUGCAGGAAGAAGAAAUUGCGACGUUGAACAAACAUUCGUGCUGUUGCCACAAAUCUACAAGCUGAUCCUCCAUCUCUGCUGUCCACAUUAAUUUCACCUUGUGCUGCGCCAUGACUGUGUGUCUUCAAUCAUCUUGCUUUCUGAUUGGAUAUUGUUUCGUUUCACGUGAUAAUCUCCAGAACGUGCGCGCGUUUGUCCUCGGGGAUCCCCCAACACCUCAGGAUUUCUGAUCGAUCGGGGCGCCUCCGACGUUCUUUCGAUCAGUGGUGACGUUUCCCCAUCACAGAGGCUAAGCUACAGUGUUGGAAUCCAGACUUCUCCUUGCUGGUGGACAAGAAGUGCUUCUGUUUGGCGACAUUCACCUCCAGAACGCUGGGCUACAACAGACCCAGUACAGACUCAGACAGUGAGAAAGCAUAGAAGAAACGCAUGCUUAUUGGAAAUACUCACACACGUACACAUAUGAGACCAAUAUAUAAUAUAUAAGAGCACAGGCAUGAGUUAGCUAAUAUCAGGACAAUUGUUGAGCACAGUCAAUGUCAGCAUGGCUCUUGGGUUGUAAACCUCUGUUAACAUAUGUGAUUUCUGUUAAAUCCAAGUUCCGAUCUAUCAUGACUGUUUUAUGAAUGUCUCUGUCUGUUGACUUUUAUUGUUGCCAUUUUCCUUUCUUCUUAAUAAACAUGUAAUUUGCACCAUGA